rnacentral:rRNA from 1 species
UACGGGGGGGAGCAAGCGUUGUUCGGAUUUAUUGGGCGUAAAGAGCGUGUAGGCGGCUUGGUAGGUCCGCUGUGAAAACUCGAGGCUCAACCUCGAGAUGUCGGCGGAAACCACUUGGCUAGAGUCCGGAAGAGGAGAGUGGAAUUCCUGGUGUAGCGGUGAAAUGCGCAGAUAUCAGGAAGAACACCUAUGGCGAAGGCAGCUCUCUGGGGACGGUACUGACGCUGAGACGCGAAAGCGUGGGGAGCGAACAGG